GAUGAACGCUGGCGGCGUGCCUAACACAUGCAAGUCGAGCGAUCUUCUUCGGAAGAGAGCGGCGGACGGGUGAGUAACGCGUGGGUAACCUGCCCUGUACACACGGAUAACAUACCGAAAGGUAUGCUAAUACGAGAUAAUAUGCUUUUAUCGCAUGGUAGAAGUAUCAAAGCUCCGGCGGUACAGGAUGGACCCGCGUCUGAUUAGCUAGUUGGUAAGGUAACGGCUUACCAAGGCGACGAUCAGUAGCCGACCUGAGAGGGUGAUCGGCCACAUUGGAACUGAGACACGGUCCAAACUCCUACGGGAGGCAGCAGUGGGGAAUAUUGCACAAUGGGCGAAAGCCUGAUGCAGCAACGCCGCGUGAGCGAUGAAGGCCUUCGGUCGUAAAGCUCUGUCCUCAGAAGAUAAUGACGGUACUUGAGGAGGAAGCCCCGGCUAACUACGUGCCAGCAGCCGCGGUAAACGUAGCGUG
rnacentral:rRNA from 1 species